CAUUGUCAAAUAAAACCUGCGGGACUGACAUAUAGAUCAUAAUAUAUUUCCAUACACCAAAUAUAGUUGACCUAUGGCAUAUAGUAUUAGAUAAAAAGACCAUAACUCAAAGACUUAACUUUGACCACUGAACCAUGAAAAUGAGGUCAAGGUCACAUGACAUCUGCCCGCUAGACAUGUACACCUUACAAUCAUUCCAUACAACAAAUAUAGUAGACCUAUUGCAUAUAGUAUGAGAAAAACAGACCAAA
rnacentral:lncRNA from 1 species